CAGCAGCCACGGUAAUACGAAGGGGGCUAGCGUAGUUCGGAAUCACUGGGCGUAAAGGGUGCGUAGGCGGAUUUUUAAGUCAGGGGUGAAAUCCCGAGGCUCAACCUCGGAACUGCCUUUGAUACUGGGGAUCUUGAGUCCGGAAGAGGUGAGUGGAACUGCGAGUGUAGAGGUGAAAUUCGUAGAUAUUCGCAAGAACACCGGUGGCGAAGGCGGCUCACUGGUCCGGAACUGACGCUGAGGCACGAAAGCGUGGGGAGCAAACAGGAUUAGAUACCCCCGUAGUCCCUGUCUCUUAUAA
rnacentral:rRNA from 1 species